rnacentral:lncRNA from 1 species
GGCGAUUCACAUUACUGAAGGUUAAAACUUCCAAAUAACAUAAGGUACGGUUGUGACACUGUUUUUUUGAUACCUAAGACUAUUACAUGGCUCACUAGGCCACCCAGGAAUCAUCUCCUGGUCAGAAAGAGAUGACAGUAUUCUUGGAGAAUCCACUUCAUGCUAAGACAGUUCAAGCCGCCUCCGGGUCACCCUGCUUCGAGCUUUCGCCGACUUCGAUCUGUAAGUCGCCCGGUUUCCAAUUGCAAUUGGUCAAAGCGACAAACUCGUCUUCGUCGCUCAAGAUAGAAGACAGAUCGACAUCAAAAUCAAAGGGAUUCUUACGGCGUCGAGGAGUCAGGCUGGUGACUUCAUAUGAAGGAGGAGUCACCUUUUUGUUGCUCUCAUCGUAAGCCGCCCGGUAUUUACCUAAGUCCAGGCUGGCGGCUAGCUAAGUCGCCGCGGAGCGAGACCCUUUCACAUAUUGGUGGUAGUCUUCUUCGGUGAACUCCGACUCAUCAUCCUUCAAUUCUGGAAAGCCGGCAGCUACCUCCUCCGGCUUAAGUUCAGGAGCAUAUGCCAGACACCGGCUUAAAGUGUUCAAUGUUCCCUUCCGGGCGGCUGACCUUUUAAAU